UGGGGAAUCUUGCACAAUGGGGGCAACCCUGAUGCAGCGACGCCGCGUGAGCGAUGAAGCCCUUCGGGGCGUAAAGCUCUUUCGACCGGAACGAUAAUGACGGUACCGGGAGAAGAAGCUGCGGCUAACUACGUGCCAGCAGCCGCGGUAAUACGUAGGCAGCAAGCGUUGUUCGGAGUUACUGGGCGUAAAGAGUGCGUAGGCGGUUUUCUAAGUUCGGUGUGAAAUCUCCCGGCUUAACUGGGAGGGUGCGCCGAAGACUGGGAAGCUGGAGUGUGGGAAAGGCAGGCGGAAUUCCUGGUGUAGCGGUGAAAUGCGUAGAUAUCAGAAGGAACACCGGCGGUGUAGACGGCUUGCUAGACCAUAACUGACGCUGAGGCACGAAAGCGUGGGUAGCAAACA
rnacentral:rRNA from 1 species